AUGUUGUAGAUAUUUGGAGUCCUUGAUGUGGAGAAAAAGGGUAAAAUAACAUUCAAGCAGGUGAUAAUCUCUCUCUUAGUUAUGCAUGCGAUCCCCAAUCGGUCCCAACUUUGUCUGCACAAAGCCAAUACGGAGCUUCUCAUAGAUGGGAAAUCUAUUGCUUGCAGUUCCUGUAUGGGUCAGCUCAUGCCCUAUAGCAACCAUUUUCAGACGAGCAUGUGAAUUAGCCUUCAUUGAGUGUCACACUGGUGGAAACCAUUACAUUUCCGAGCAUGUCUCAUACUCUUUUCCUUGGUAUUCCCUUUUAUUUAUUAUACUUUUGGAUAAGGUUUAAGUUGCGUACUCGUGGUUGGUAAAUGGAUAGCUCAGUUGGGAGAUUCCAUUAAGGCGGCUAUUCCAAACAUGGACGAGUUUGAGAUCCAUGAACUAUUCAAAUCAUUUGAUACCGAUAGCGAUGGGAGGAUCAACAAGGAUGAUUUUAUCACCUGUUUAAGAGGAAAUCCAUUGCUUGUAGCACUUUUCUCUCCCCAGUAAUGCACAAUAACUUGUCUGCAGUCAAUGACACAGAGGAGGCUAAAGGAGAUGGUGUGAUGGAUGAUGGGUUGAUGGGUCUUGUUGUAGAUUUGGCUCUAUGAAACAUUUUAGCUCUUUCACAUAGGGCUUAAGUGAGGGAUAGGUUAUUUGCAGAUAAUUCUUUUUUCUUUUGAAAAUAGUCACUUAACUUCUUGUGGUUUGUUGAAUAAAAUAUAGUCUUCGUCAAGAUUAACAAUGUAUUACACAUGCCUACAUUUUCAAAUAGUAGGGGAUUAUGUGCA